CUGGAUUUUAUUCAAACAUCUAACUUCCAUGCAAGGCUGAUCUCUAUAGCAAGAGUUCAAAGAAGUAUCUUUGAGGAUUAUUGAUUUAUUUUUUCCUUGUCACAUGGUUAUAAAAUAAACAAUUGCAAACCAAGUGAGGCAAGGGUCAAAACUAAGACCUUCAGUUUGAUUUCCAAGCUAGGGGUGUUUUUCAUUGAUGUUAUUCAAAACAAACCAGCUUUUCCAGCUUUAGAGGACUCUGAAGGAGGGAUCAGACAGGGAAACACUACAUGACCCAAGCUAGAGGAACAAGCCAGAUUUAUCAAGCAUCAGCAAAACCCUACUCUUAAGUUCCGUCACUUUGUUUUAAAUGCCAGUGUGAGCUACAGUUGGAAGUUUGAUUUGGAGGUAAUGAACAAGCAAGCUAGUCUAAUAAAGUGGCAAAAAAGGAUUACUAGCAGAGAACUGUUGCUGCCGCCUUUAGGGCUCCUGCAGGACUAGGAUCUUCAAACGUUAAGCUCCUCCCGCCUUCCGAAGUUAGCAAACUUCCUUCCCCGCAUUUCUUAAAGAGAGUGCUCCUCUGCCUUGCCGGUUCCUGCAGUGCUUUACCGAGUUCCUAAUCUUCCCUUUUGGAAGUGAAAAUGUCUGCAAAGAUUGGAGGAGGUUUCGGGAGGGAAGCUUCUCAGCAGAUCCUGGCUGGAGGUUCAGCGGGAAUGCAACUGCUAGCAGCAAUCUUGGGAGAAGAGCUGAGAGCCCCAAAUAGUUCUUAAUAAUUAUCUUAAUUUCCUCUUCAUUAGAGGUAAGAUCACCUUUUCAUCUUUGAUACUGUAAAUUUGAUUCUCUUAUUUCUUUUUUUUAUUAGAUUAAUUGGCAUAUUAUCUAUUUUAUUUGUUUUUUCAAAGUACCAGGUCAUAGGCUUAUUUAUUAGUUGAAUAGUUCUUUUACUUUCAAUUUUAUUAAUCUAUACUUUAACUUUUAGAAUCUCCAAUUUAGUUUUUUUCUGGGGAUUUUUAAUUCAUUCUUUUUCUAAUUUUUUAAGUUGCAAGUCCACCCUCUCAUUUUUUUUUUUUUGCUAUAGACACUCAGAGAUAUAAAUUUUCCUGAGUACUGCUUUGGUUGUAUCCCAUAGGUUUUGAUAUGAUAUCUCCUCAUUAUCAUUCUCUUUAAUGAAGUCCUUAAUUAUUUUUAUGAUUUAUUUUUUGACCCACCAGUUUUGAAGAAUUAUAUUAUUUAGUUUCCAAUUAAUUUUAAAUUUGCCUUUCCAUGGAUACUUGUUAUUAAUAACUUUUUAUGAUCCUAGAAAGCUGUAUUUAUUAUUUCUGUUUUUCUGCAUUUGUUUGCAAUAUUUCUAUGUCCUAAUACAUGGUUGAUCUUUGUAUAUGUACCAUGUACUGCUGAGAAGAAGGUAUAUUCCUUUUUAACCCCUGUUCAAUUUUCUUCAGAUAGCUAUUAACCCUAAUUUCUCUAGCAUUUCAUUCACUUCCCUUACUUAUUUCUUAUUUAUUUUUAGGAUUGAUUUAUCUAGUUCUGAAAGGGAAAGGUUGAGAUCCUCCUUGGGUAUGGUCUUACUAUCUAUUUCCUGCUUGAGCUCCUUAAAAUUUUUCUUUAGAAAUCUAGAUGCUAUACCAUUUAUUUAGUGAUGUUUGGUAAUGAUAUUAUUUCAUUGUUUAUAGUACACUUUAGCAAAAUGUAAUUUCCUUCCUUAUCUCUUUUAAUCAGAUCAAUUUCUACUUUAGCUUUGUAUGGUACCAUGAUUGCUACCCCCUAUUUUUUUUUUUACUUUAGAUGAUGCAUAAUAAAUUCUGCUCUCACUUUUUACCUUGAAUCUAU
rnacentral:lncRNA from 1 species